GCUGCACAAGGAGCCAGAACAUUUUAAGCCUAGCCCUGCAAUUCUCUGAGCAAGAGUUACCCAGAAAAAGAGGCAUAACAAUGCUUUCAAGGAGGCCAGAGACCUCACCUGUCUUGUUCUCUGCUGUAUCUCCAGCAUCUUGCCCAGCACCUGGCAGAAUGUAGGUGCUCAAAAAAUAUUUGUGGAAUGAAUAAAGGGAGAAAACGUUGGAAAUCAGUAUGCUGCAGUGAAAAUGGCAAAGGCAAGCUCUGGGAUCAGACAGACUAAGGUUAAAAUCACUAUUGGAGUUGCUAAGCUGGUAGUGUGUAAACCCAAUACUGUUCACGGCCAUUGAUUCCACUGGAACCUGCCUGUCAGUAAAGCCAACCUGUGGGAUGAAAGAGACAGAAACGCUCUCAGUUGAUGCUGCUCGAGCCCCAAAACCUCCAUCCCUGAUGGUGGAAUACCUCUUGAAUUUUCAUUUCAUCAGUCAACAAAUCCAGCAAAUCUCCCUUUUGAGUUCAGUUGCUUAUUUUGAUUUAAGCGAGUUAACUUACACCACUUGUAGUCCAAAGAGGCUGGAUUGAAACACAUGUGCAUUUUGUUGUCCCUGGGAAAUAGGGGUGAGGCAACAGAGCAGAAAGGAUAGCUCAUUCAGCAUAGAGUAGGGGGGGGCAUACUUAUUCUUUGUGAGUCCCACAAUCACACUUCAACUCAGCGCUGAUUGAAAACACAGGUGUGAGCUUGAUCUAUCUCUGCUCUGCCCUCUAGGGGGCUGUGUGAUAUUGAGUGACUCACUUACCCUCUCUGAACCUUAGCUCCCUCACCUAUACAAUGAACACGAUGUUAUCUGUCCCACAGGAGCUUCCUGAUGAUUCCAUGUUAGGAUGGUUGUGAAAGUUCAGUGCCUGGUGCAUGGUGAGUCCUUAUCCCCUUGCACCUAGGCAAUCAUCUCAUGUUAUAGCUUUCUGGGACUGCUGUGAUAAAUGACCACAAAUUCAGUGGUUGAAGACAAUAGAUAUACAUUAUCUCAUGGUUCUGGAGGCCAGAAGUCAGAAACCAAGGCGUCAGCAGGGGCAUGCUCCCUCUGAAGGCUCAAGGGCAGAAUUCUUGCCUUCUCCAGCUUCUGGUGGUUCCAGGUGUCCCUUGGCUUAUGGCAGCAUCACUCCAACCUCUGCCCCCAUCUUCACAUGGCCUUCUUCAUGUGUGUCUUUAUCUGUCUCUUAUGAGGAUAUUCACUGGGUUUAGGGUCCAAAAUCCAAUAAGAUCUCACCUCACUCUUUACCUUAAUCAUGUUAGCAAAAACCCUAUUUUCAAAUAAGGACACAUUCUGAGGUCUUGGCUGGACAUGAAUUUGAGGGGCAGCAUUCGACCCAGUAUACCCCAUGAAUGAAAAGUCCUGACCUCACGUCGAAUAUCCUCUUGUCCUUUAUUCUGUGAGUUUAUUAUCCUCUUUGAGUGACUGAUCUGCUCACAUGGAUGAGUUCCCAUGAAUCAUACUCACUCUUUUGAGGACUCUCCCUUUUCAACAAGAGUUGAGUUCAUGGGUGAUUCAGCUCUCCACAACCUUGUGAAAGGGAUUCUGUCCCCGAAGACCCCACCCCUGAGUGUGUUCAUAGAAACAACGCAGUAUUUAGAAUCAGAUAUUUCAUGAGUUUUAACUGUGUGCUCUUUUCUUAGAAGAGUCAUUUAAAUGUUGAGGUCUUCAAUUCCUUGCACUCUAAAAUGGAGAUUCUGAUAAUAAAUUCCGGCUGACCACACAAGAUUGUAAAGAGGGCCAAAUGCUUCGUAAAUGGUUUGUAGACUGCAACAAAACUUUGUAAACUGUUAAGGCUGGGUUCAGGCAAAGGCGGGGGUGCACAUUUUGUGGGGCUAUAUAUGGAUUUCUUGGCUCUCACACAGUUUUUAAAUAUCUUAAUUUAAAAUUCUUUAGGCUGGGUUCCCAUUCUCCAGCUCAUCAUGUACUACAUUACUCUGUUUUUCUCAUUCACCUUUUUGCUUGGAUUCUGGAGCCACUACUGUUUAUGGCCCCUGGAGAGGAAACUGUCAUGUCUGGGACCAAUAACCUUUACUCUCUGAGCAUCAUCACCAGAGCCUGCACCCAACAGCACGAAGUGGCUCCUGCUUCUGCUCCAGCCAGGAGGGGGAAACACAGAUGCACAGUUACAAUACAGAAAAAUAACACACAGCUUGUCGCCACUGAGUUCUCCAUUGAUUUUGCUUCCCAAAGAUUCCUGAGGAAUCCCGACACCCGGGUAGUAGGUCUGUUUAGAAGCCACAAGUGACUGAUGCCAAUGAAUACCUUCAGGGCUACUGUCCUCCUUUGGUCAGCCUGCAUUUUAGUGGUUGGGGAUCAAAGCCACAGCUUUGGAAAGAGACAGCAAAUGAGAUGGCAAGAAGCUGGUAACAGCAGAAGAUAGUGAUGAAAUAUACUUUAACAAAAAUGGGGGUAGCAGUAAUAAUAAUAAAUAUUAAUGAUCAUCUACUUGAACCAGGCACUGUGAUUGACAUUUUACAUGCA
rnacentral:lncRNA from 10 species